rnacentral:rRNA from 1 species
UACGUAGGGGGCAAGCGUUAUCCGGAUUUACUGGGUGUAAAGGGAGCGUAGGUGGUGUGGUAAGUCAGAUGUGAAAGCCCGGGGCUCAACUCCGGGAUUGCAUUUGAAACUAUCAUGCUAGAGUGCAGGAGAGGUAAGUGGAAUUCCUAGUGUAGCGGUGAAAUGCGUAGAUAUUAGGAGGAACACCAGUGGCGAAGGCGGCUUACUGGACUGUAACUGACACUGAGGCUCGAAAGCGUGGGGAGCGAACAGGAUUAGAUACC